AUUAAACUGCGCGGCGUUGGUGCUCGCGGCGUGGUUCACACGCCGCAGUUCAACGGGAAGCAGGGAGGAGGCCGCCACGCGAUGGCGUCCACCGAGCCUGCGCUGCCCCCGCAACGGUCAGCGGCCGAAUCCUCGGAUUCACCUUUCACACCCAGUGCCACUGGGCGCCUUGAACAAGCGCCUGGGAAGGCCGUGAAAGGCGCGCCGCCAGCCCGGAUACCGGCCAACACGGUGGUUGCGUG
rnacentral:ncRNA from 2 species